rnacentral:rRNA from 1 species
UACGUAGGUGGCAAGCGUUGUCCGGAUUUACUGGGCGUAAAGAGCGCGCAGGCGGUCGUGCAAGUCGCGUGUGAAAUCCCCAGGCUCAACCUGGGAACUGCGUCUGAUACUGGAUGGCUUGAAUCCGGGAGAGGGAUGCAGAAUUCCAGGUGUAGCGGUGAAAUGCGUAGAUAUCAAGCGGAACACCGGUGGCGAAGGCGGCCUUCUGGACAGUGACUGACGCUGAGAUGCGAAAGCGUGGGGAGCAAACAGG